rnacentral:rRNA from 1 species
AACUAUCAAAUCACAUGAUUAAGAAAGUUAAAACUCCGGUGGUAAAAGAUGGACUCGCGUCCCAUUAGCUAGUUGGUGAAGGUAACGGCCCACCAAGGCAACGAUGGGUAGCCGGCCUGAGAGGGUGAACGGCCACAUUGGAACUGAGAAACGGUCCAAACUCCUACGGGAGGCAGCAGUGGGGAAUAUUGCACAAUGGGGGAAACCCUGAUGCAGCGACGCCGCGUGAGCGAAGAAGGCCUUCGGGUCGUAAAGCUCUUUUAUAUGGGAAGAUAAUGACGGUACCAUAAGAAAAAGCCCCGGCUAACUACGUGCCAGCAGCCGCGGUAAUACGUAGGGGGCUAGCGUUGUCCGGAAUCACUGGGCGUAAAGGGUUCGCAGGCGGCAAUGCAAGUCAGAUGUAAAAGGCAAAGGCUCAACCUUUGUAAGCAUCUGAAACUGUAUAGCUUGAGAAGUGUAGAGGCAAGUGGAAUUUUUAGUGUAGCGGUGAAAUGCGUAGAUAUUAAAAAGAAUACCGGUGGCGAAGGCGACUUGCUGGGCACAAUCUGACGCUGAGGAACGAAAGCGUGGGGAGCAAACAGGAUUAGAUACCCUGGUAGUCCACGCCGUAAACGAUGAGUGCUAGGUGUCGGUAUAAAUCGGUGCCGCAGUUAACACAAUAAGCACUCCGCCUGGGGAGUACGUGCGCAAGCAUGAAACUCAAAGGAAUUGACGGGGACCCGCACAAGCAGCGGAGCAUGUGGUUUAAUUCGAAGCAACGCGAAGAACCUUACCAGGGCUUGACAUAUAAGAGACGAACUUAGAGAUAAGUUUUCUUCUUCGGAAGCCCUUAUACAGGUGGUGCAUGGUUGUCGUCAGCUCGUGUCGUGAGAUGUUGGGUUAAGUCCCGCAACGAGCGCAACCCUUAUUACUAGUUACCAGCAUUUCGGAUGGGGACUCUAGAAAGACUGCCGAUGAUAAAUCGGAGGAAGGUGGGGAUGACGUCAAAUCAUCAUGCCCUAUAUGCCCUGGGCAACACACGUGCUACAAUGGCCGUAACAAAGAGAAGCGAAAUCGCAAGGUCAAGCAAACCUCAAAAAGACGGUCUCAGUUCGGAUUGUUCUCUGCAACUCGAGAACAUGAAGUCGGAGUUGCUAGUAAUCGCAGAU